rnacentral:rRNA from 1 species
UACAGAGGUGGCAAGCGUUGCUCGGAAUCACUGGGCUUAAAGGGCAUGUAGGCGGGCGAGUAAGCGCCUUGUGAAAUCCCCCGGCUCAACCGGGGAACCGCUCGGCGAACUGCUCGUCUCGAGGGAGACAGGGGCGACCGGAACUCUGGGUGGAGCGGUGAAAUGCGUAGAUAUCCAGGGGAACGCCGGUGGAGAAAUCGGGUCGCUGGGUCUUUCCUGACGCUGAGGUGCGAAAGCGUGGGGAGCGAACAGG